rnacentral:rRNA from 1 species
AUGAGGAUAGUGAGAUGGAACUGCCGGGGACUCGGGAACGGCCCGGCAGUUCGUGGCCUCUUGGAUCUCAAGAGGGCGGAGGAUCCCGAUGUUUUAUUUUUGUGCGAAACAAAGCUGUUAGAGAAGGAGUUGGAGCAAUUUAGGUGGAAGCUUGGUUUGGUGAACAUGUGUGCGAAGGGCUCAGAGGGAAGGAGUCGGGGUGUGGCUAUUUUCUGGAGAAGAGGAGUGAAUCUCUCCUUGCAUUCCCUGGGAAGGAGGCAUAUUGAUGCUGACAUAACGGAGCAAGACGGAUCUGUUUGGAGAAUAACGGGGGUGUAUGGAUAG